UCCAGUUGAUAUGGUAAAUAUCAAAAUGCCUGUGUUUGUAGCCAGCACUUUCAGCCAGAGGAUUUCGAAAUUGAAUUAAAGUCUCAACUGAUGGGGGUUGCCAUGUCGUCGAUCGUUGAAAAGUGAUGCUAUUCCAUAGAUUCCCCCCCCCCCCUUCAUUUCAAAGAGGAAGGCAUCUGAUCAGCCAACAUUGAAGCACAAAAUAAGUCAAGCUGAGAGUCCGAUCCCAUCAACAUCUGCAGAGGCAUCAAGCUCAGCACCAGCAACUAGUACGAACCCUGCUGCUGUUGACCUUGACACCAGCGUUGGUAGUACAGAGCCUGUAGACUCAUUGGAUGAAAGCUUUCAGCCUGGAAUAAACUCAAUCAUCUGACUUUGAAACAAGCCAGAACAGCAAAAGGUAUUUAUGAAAGCACAAUACCCUCUUGAGAAAACAAAAUCACCAAUACACUGAACUGUCUACAACAGUCAGUUCUUUGGCAUGGUGGAGAGGGGCUGUUAGUAUUCUCUUCUAGCCUAUUCACUCUAUUGUUGGAAGUGCUUGUCUACUCAACCACACUACUGUAGGUGCUCAUACACAACAAUACACAACUAGAUUGUCUACAAGUCAAGCCCCCCUCAAACCUUUCACAUCUUUCUGAAUUAUUGACUCUGAGUGAAACAAAACACAUACCAGUCAACCGUACCCUUUUUUGUUUACAAAUGAACAUGGUUUA
rnacentral:lncRNA from 1 species